rnacentral:lncRNA from 10 species
AGAAUAACACUAAUGGACAUGUAAACACACAUCGAUAAAUACAAUACAAUUAGCCCUCCAGGAAACUCUGCAAGGACUCUGCAUUUCAUCUGGAGAACAAUGGACUGGAAGAGUACAUAAUCUAUCCCCUUCACAUCAACACACAAGCACUGAUAUUUCUCUGAUAUUUGCUGCUACAACCUCCCCAGAUGCAGCCACAACUUACUUUGUUGUUUCUUUACACUGAACACAUACCUUAGCUGACCUUGCUUCCUGAAGUGCAAAUUGCGCAAAUGUAAUCUUUGCAAAAUUCCUCAUAUUCCUCAAACAUUUGCUCAAACUUCAUCAUUUUUGAAGACUCUGAUCACCCUACAAAUGCUACAGACAUCUACCAACUCAGCAUUCUAUUCAUUUAAUUACUCCAAUAUUGUCAUUGUUUCAAAUAUCCAUAACCUUUUAAUGUAUUAUAUAAAUUAUUUAUUAUUGUAGAAAAUGAAAAUUAGCUGGACAGCAAAUAUCUACCCAGUCAAAAAAGAUUUAGAUAAAUUCAGCUGGAAAGUUAACAGGAAACACAUUUCUUCCAAGGUUUGUGGCCACUGAAAAGUGGUAAGAUAACUGCCUUCUUUGAUUGACUACCUCUUUCUUUCUUUCCUCCUUUUUUCUUUCCUUUCCUUUCUCCUUUCUUUCUUUCUUUCUUUCUUUCUUUCUUUCUUUCUUUCUUUCUUUCUUUCUUUCUUUCUUUCCUUCUUUCUUUCUCUUUCUCUUUCUUUCUCUAUCAUAAAUUGUGCUUUUUGAAAUUAUGCCGGUAAGAACAACAUAUCCCACUCUUGCUUGGAUAAUCUGUCAUUUUGAAAGAGAGAAGCAACCUUUAUACACAAUCUAAACUCAAAACUUCAGUUGGGAGUUUCUGAAUAAAAUA